UACAGAGGUCUCAAGCGUUGUUCGGAUUCAUUGGGCGUAAAGGGUGCGUAGGUGGCAUGGUAAGUCGGAUGUGAAAUCCCGGGGCUCAACCCCGGAACUGCAUUCGAUACUGCUGAGCUAGAGUACUGGAGAGGAGAUUGGAAUUUACGGUGUAGCAGUGAAAUGCGUAGAUAUCGUAAGGAAGACCGGUGGCGAAGGCGGGUCUCUGGACAGUUCCUGACACUGAGGCACGAAGGCCAGGGGAGCAAACGGG
rnacentral:rRNA from 1 species